AACGAACGCUGGCGGCAGGCUUAACACAUGCAAGUCGAACGAGAUCUUCGGAUCUAGUGGCAGACGGGUGAGGAACACGUGGGAACAUCCCUUUCAGUUCGGAAUAACUCAGGGAAACUUGAGCUAAUACCGGAUACGUCCUUCGGGAGAAAGAUUUAUCGCUGAAAGAUUGGCCCGCGUCUGAUUAGCUAGUUGGUGAGGUAACGGCUCACCAAGGCUACGAUCAGUAGCUGAUCUGAGAGGAUGAUCAGCCACAUUGGGACUGAGACACGGCCCAAACUCCUACGGGAGGCAGCAGUGGGGAAUAUUGGACAAUGGGCGCAAGCCUGAUCCAGCCAUGCCGCGUGAGUGAUGAAGGCCUUCGGGUUGUAAAGCUCUUUUGUCCGGGAAGAUAAUGACUGUACCGGAAGAAUAAGCCCCGGCAAACUUCGUGCCAGCCGCCGCGGUAA
rnacentral:rRNA from 1 species